rnacentral:lncRNA from 10 species
GUUGCCCAGGCUGGUCUUGAAGUCCUGACCUCAAGCAGUCCUCCUUCCUUGGCCUCCAAAAGGGCUGGGAUUACAGAGAAACCAAGAAGAAUCUGAAAAGUUGAGCCAAAACAAUAUCCGUGGCAGCAGAGUGAAGAAGAAAAGGACCUAGGGCCAUGGGUAGUAACAGAGGGAUAUGCUGUUUGUUCAGCAUAUCAGAUGACUUUGCUGGUGACCCACCAUUCUAGGAUUAUUCCCUAGGUCAAGUGAGAAGGACAUUCAGGAAGAGUAUCGUUAUAUAGCAUUAGAUGUAUGGAGUUGUUUAGGAAAGACCUUUGAUAAUGAUAUAAUGGAAAGGUGUAGCCAUGUAGCCAGACAAAUGCCUCCUAAUCUUUAUAAAAAUUGGAAGGGUGUCUGAAUUUGGUAAUAUCUACA